rnacentral:rRNA from 2 species
CGCCUCUUGUUUCUCCUAUAUAAGAGGUCCUGCCUGCCCAGUGACAUAUUGUUAAACGGCCGCGGUAUCAUGACCGUGCAAAGGUAGCGUAAUCACUUGUCUUCUAAAUAAAGACCGGUAUGAAUGGCAAAACGAGAGUUCAACUGUCUCCUUUAACCAAUCAGUGAAAUUGAUCUUUCCGUGCAGAAGCGGAAAUUUAAAUAUAAGACGAGAAGACCCUAUGGAGCUUAAAAUAUAAACCAUUUAUAAAAUAAUAUACCAAAAGGCUAAUAAUUAACAUAAAUUCUGGUUAAAAUUUUAGGUUGGGGCGACCACGGAAUAAAAUAAAACUUCCGAGAUGAAAUUAUAAUUCAAGGGUAACAACCCUAAAAAAUAAAACAUUUAACAUAAUUGAUCCAAUAUUUUGAUCAACGGACCAAGUUACCCUAGGGAUAACAGCGCAAUCCUUUCCAAGAGUUCUUAUCGACGAAUGGGUUUACGACCUCGAUGUUGGAUCAGGACAUCCUAAUGGUGCAGCUGCUAUUAAGGGUUCGUUUGUUCAACGAUUAAAGUCCC